GGACGGACCGGGGCGCCCUACUCCUCCAGGCAGGAGUCGCAGACUUCGUCCAGAGGGUCGGUGUGGCCGGCGGGGGAACCUGUGUGCGUAGGUGGCCCUUGGACUCUCGCCCUCGGAGGGAGGCCGGUCCGAGCGGUCUCCGGCUGCGGAUCCCUGGAUCCUCUUGUGGGGAGCCGGGCGUAGCUGCGGAUUGCCUUGGAUGAUGGCCUGCGUCUGACAGUCCCCUCAGCUCUUCUCAGCUCUCCUGAGGCUGCAGCUGUCAGCUCCCCUGAUCCUCAGCACUUGCCUAGAAAGGUCCAGCAUGCCUCGUGGCUGGCGCCGUGGGCUGGGCCCUCGUAAUCCCAUCUGGGCAGCAGCCAAUUACGCCAAUGCACACCCUCAGCAGCAGAUGGACCCAGCCUCUCCUGGGCUGGCAUACACCCCCCCUUGUGGAUCCCUGGAUUGAGUGGCCCUGCUGCGGGGACCCUGUGUGUGUGCUCACGACCACGGAGCAGAAGAGCACAGCUAGUGGCACUCCCGGCGGUAAGCCC